AGCUCCAAUAGCGUAUAUUAAAGUUGCUGCAGUUAAAAAGCUCGUAGUUGGAUCUCGGGGUACCUGGUCUAGCCGGUAUAGCUCACGCUAAAACUGGUCUGACCCCCCAACGUGAGGUAUUCGUCUCCGGGUGCACUUCAUUGGGUGCUCGUGAGGGGCCUCGUAGUUACUGUGAAAAAAUUAGAGUGUUCAAAGCAGGCUCAUAUGUUCGGAUAGUCGUGCAUGGAAUAACUGAAUACGUGGCUGGCGGUUUUCAGGUGGGCUCGGGGGCUGGUCGGAAGGUUAAGGGGGACUGCCGGGGGCAUUGGUAUGGCGGGGUUAGAGGUGAAAUUCUUGGAUCCUCGCCAGACCAACAAAAGCGAAAGCAUUUGCCAAGAAUGUCUUCA
rnacentral:rRNA from 1 species